ensembl:lncRNA
GCCCUAUCGGCCCCCCUGGCUAAACUUUGCUAGAUCCGCCCCUGCACAGUUACCAGCCGUCAGCUACGUAGAAAAAGAUCCUGGUGUAGAAAGUAAUAUUAAAUAAAUUCUAACAACAGCUUAUCAAGCUUAAACGUGCUGCUGUUGUUCAGCCGCUGGUUUCCUCUUUCUGGUGCAAAGUGGGCCAAAAACAAAGAAGAGAGACGGACUCGCGACAGAAAAGCCGAUCAGCUGAUCAUUAAUCAGUUUCAUGAAGUUGCGGCAGGAGAGGGAGGGAGAGAGAGGCAGUCGCUCCAUAUAUCGGUUGUUAAGCUUAAGAGUUCGCUCCUGGAGUGGGGUUCUCACCUCAGUCAUCCCUUCUUUUCUGGACCCAGGCCACCAGCUGCUGGUACUGCAUUACUAACUAGCCCGCCUCUCACCUGCCUCCUUCACCUGAAACCAAUGCCCUGGUCUCUUCAUAGCAUUUUUCCCGGCCCAGCCUUCACCUCCCCACUGCCACAGCUGUCCCGCUGUAUUCUAGAGCUUUCUAGAUUUCCUUUAGUUGCCUUAGUUUUGACAACGCG